rnacentral:rRNA from 1 species
GACGAACGCUGGCGGCGUGCCUAAUACAUGCAAGUAGAACGCAGUUGCGAACGGGGGAGUAACGCGUAGGUAACUGCCUCAUAGCGGGGGAUAACUAUUGGAAACGAUAGCUCAUACCGCAUACUGUGAGAUGGACCUGCGUUGUAUUAGCUAUUUGGUGGGGUAAAGGCUCACAAAGGCGACGAUACAUAGCCGACCUGAGAGGUGGAUCGGCCACACGGGGACGGAGACACGGCCCAGACUCCUACGGGAGGCAGCAGUGGGGAAUAUUGCACAAUGGGCGCAAGCCUGAGGCAGCCAUGCCGCGUGUAUGAAGAAGGCCUUCGGGUUGUAAAGUACUUUCAGCGAGGAGGCGUUACUCGCAGAAGAAGCACCGGCUAACUACGUGCCAGCCGCCGCGGUAAUAC